GACACAGACAACCAUUCACACUCACAUUCACACCUACGGUCAAUUUAGAGUCACCAGUUAACCUAACCUGCAUGUCUUUGGACUGUGGGAGAAACCGGAGCACCCGGAGGAAACCCACGUGGACACGGGGAGAACAUGCAAACUCCGCACAGAAAGGCCCUCGCCGGCCCCGGGGCUCGAACCCGGACCUUCUUGCUGUGAGGCGAGAUAAAAAAUGUAAAUUGCUUUGCAUUGUUUAUGAUUCAGAAAUUUUAAAAAGGAAAUAAAAAAUAUCUCGCCUGUAUAAAAAAUAAAUAAAUAUUACAAAAAAUUUAAAAAUCAACUGCAUUCGGUCCUCUCCAAAAUAAAAUAAAGCUCUGGGCAAGUGGAAUUGUGUUUUGGGCAGGUAUGUUUUGGGUGCUGCUUGCCAACUGGGCAAGUAAGGCUGGGAGAUUUUUUUUUUUCCCCCAAGGACUGGAUAGCAUGGGGUUAUAUUAUAUAUCAAUGGCUUAUUCAGCCAAUUCUCUUAGAGUUUCUAAAUUAAUUUAAAGAUAUUGUGAAACUGCAAUACAUUCUAUUUACCACAUUAAUCCUCUGUAGCAAUUUUUGACUUUUGUUUUAUACGCACGAAAAUGUAAAUUGCUUUGCAUUGUUUAUGAUUCAGAAAUUUUAAAAAGGAGUUUAUUCAGUCAUAAUUUUUCUUCAUUCAAAUUUUAUUGUAAAUAUUCUGAGAAUCUAAUGUAGGGUGAGGCUAUUGUACCUUUAUUAUGUAACUUUAAAUGAUUAGUUGAGGUACAGCAGUAUUCCUGAAGGUAAUUGUGUUCCUAAAAUCAUUUUUAAAGGUAAACUGCAUUCAGGUUACCAUGGAAAUAAAUACAAGCUAAAUGUGCAAUAGACUGUAAGAGAUUAAUUUAGGGUAUAUUAAGCUGUGGAGAGUUUUGGAGAGAAUCAGCCCAGUGACAAGGGAGAAAAAAUCAUUUUGUCCUCUUUCCUAACAGAAAAAAGCACACUGCAGUCCUGUAAAAUAGCAUGAAAGCUGUUUUUCAGUGGAAUGAUUCCACACCAUCACUGGAGUAUCACAGUUCACAUGCAGUUCCAGUACAUUAGACCUUUAGCAGAUGUUCCUAUCCAGAGAGACUUACAGCUUACCCUGAGGAGCAGUGAGGAGUUUGGUGCCUUACUCAAGUUCAAGAAAAUAUAUUCAACACACCAAGGAUAUGAAUCUUAGAAUCAAGCUUGUGUUACAGAGCUAAGGGGUGCUAGGUUUAUUAAAUAUCCAUUUUCACCUUCUUCAUGACUAACUUACUUCCUCAGACUGUUUAUUUACAGAGAGUUCCUACUGUUGUGAAGAAAAGACUGAGACUUACAGCAAAACAGGAAAAGAAGAGUCCAGAGAAUAGUUUUUCCUGGGAAAAUAUUCACCACAGUUUCAUUUUCAGCCAUAAUUUGGGUUUUUCAGUCCACCAUUUUUCCUGCUGUCUGUCCUUCACUUCAGUUUGUGAAGAAUUCAGUGCUGGAAGAGAGUCGGCAUGUGUUGGGGGAGGGGGAGCUGAUGGGUGUGUUAUGGAAGGCCAAAAAGGUCAAAAUGGUCUUAAACAUUGAAGAAAUAAUUCAUCAAUUUAAAGCAUAUAUGCAGAACCAUGGCUCCCAGUCAAAUCACGUAUCUCAUACAAAAUUCUGCUCCUCACCUACAAAUCCCUCCAUGCACUUGCCCCACAGUACCUCUCUGACCUUCUCCACCCCCACUCCCAGUCUAGGUCCCUGCGGUCCUCUGCCAAGGACCAGCUCUCCAUCCCCCGUACCAGGCUGCGGACCAUAGGGGACAGAGCCUUCUGUGUAGCUGCCCCCACUCUCUGGAACAGUCUACCACUCCACAUACGCCAUGCCCCCACACUGAUGUCUUUCAAAAACACAUGUUUACUGAGGCCUUUGGUCUCUAACUGACCCCCCCCCCCUCCCCAUUUCCUCCUGUAAAGCGACCUUGGGUACCUUGAAAGGCGCUAUACAAAACUAAGUUAUUAUUAUUAUUUAUUAUUAUUAUUAUUAUUAUUAAUGUGCGGCUCACCCGUUGGUAUCUGGCACUCCAGCCCUUUAACUUCAAGGUGAGCCACAGGCCGGGGCUGCAGAUGGUCGUGGCGGACUUCCUCUCCCGUCAGGGGGGGAGUCGGCUGCAGGCCGGACGGCUCCACAGCCUGAGUCGGGCGGUGGGGGUAUGUGGCAGCAGGGGCGUGGUCAAGCGUUGGUCUGUGACCAGAGGGCGGAGUCAGGGAAGGUAAGUGGCAGAAUCACUGCACAUGAUGUCAGUUAACCUGUGUUUGUGUGUGAAGAGUGAAAAAGCUGAAAAUAAAGAGUUUUUUUGAAACUCAGUUCUGGCCUGCCGUACUUCUGUGCUCCGCCAACCCGCUCAAAGUCCUACACUUACUUUCACCAUAAAUUUUUAUUUAUAUGACUGGUCUAGGGCGGCACGGUGGUGUAGUGGUUAGCGCUGUCGCCUCACAACAAGAAGGUCCUGGGUUCGAGCCCCGGGGCUGGCGAGGGCCUUUCUGUGUGGAGUUUGCAUGUUCUCCCCGUGUCCGCAUGGGUUUCCUCCGGGUGCUCCGGUUUCCCCCAAAGACAUGCAGGUUAGGUUAACUGGUGACUCUAAAUUGACCGUAGAUGUGAGUGUGAAUGGUUGUCUGUGUCUAUGUGUCAGCCCUGUGAUGACCUGGUGACUUGUCCAGGGUGUACCCCGCCUUUCGCCCGUAGUCAGCUGGGAUAGGCUCCAGCUUGCCUGCGACCCUGUAGAAGGAUAAAGCGGCUAGAGAUAAUGAGAUGAGAUGAGAUGACUGGUCUAUAGCUGUCAAAGGCCUUGGCCUUAAAACCGGUUACCACUGUGACGUCACGCACUCAGGGCUGACUGGCUCAGCGGGGCAGCUCGAAUGGCAACUUUGCGGUCGAUUUUUAACUUUCAAAAAUAUAUUUUUUUAAAUUCCCAUUUAUGCAGCAUACAAGAGUCAAGGAUGGAGAUACUAUCCACUCAAAUUUAUUUAAAAAUAAAGGUUCUGCGUAUCUUCUUUAAAGAAAUCACUUCAAAUGUAUUACUUUUAAAAAAUAUAAAAAUUAAUUUUGUGUAUCAGAAAGGUUUUCCUCCAAAACGGAAGCCAUAUUAAGUUUUGCACAACAGCUGGAAUAACAUUGCCAUUUUAUUCAAAUUCACAUGUUUUUGGUUGGGCAGCACGGUGGUGUAGUGGUUAGCACUGUCGCCUCACAGCAAGAAGGUCCUGGGUUCGAGCCCCGGGGCUGGCGAGGGCCUUUCUGUGUGGAGUUUGCAUGUUCUCCCUGUGGGUUUCCUCCGGGUGCUCCGGUUUCCCCAAAGACAUGCAGGUUAGGUUAACUGGUGACUCUAAAUUGACCGUAGGUGUGAAUGGUUGUCUGUGUCUAUGUGUCAGCCCUGUGAUGACCUGGCGACUUGUCCAGGGUGUACCCCGCCUUUCGCCCGUAGUCAGCUGGGAUAGGCUCCAGCUUGCCUGCGACCCUGUAGAACAGGAUAAAGCGGCUAGAGAUAAUGAGAUGAGAUGAGAUGUUUUUGGUUGUCACUUUGAGGUGUAAUUAAUGGAUAUUUUCAGAUGCUGAGAAUAAGUCCAGAUAAACUUAUACUGGAAUGAAGGGAUUCUGUAAAUGUGGAUUUAAGAAGGAAGUUCAACACUGGACUGGACUCCUGUCUCGAUCCUGACGUUCGUCCAUCCUCAGCUAAACGUUACAUUACAUGUGGGUAACACGCCAAUUUCACUUCACUCUGUAUUUAUAACCAGAAAUAUCAUGCUUGUAAAUAUUGAAUAAAAAACUUUAUGGACUGAA